UAGCCUUUACCGUGUAAAGCCCCUUCGACGAGUCGAGUUGUUUGGGAAUGCAGCUCUAAAUGGGAGGUAAAUUUCUUCUAAAGCUAAAUACUGGCCAGAGACCGAUAGCGCACAAGUAGAGUGAUCGAAAGAUGAAAAGCACUUUGGAAAGAGAGUUAAAAAGCACGUGAAAUUGUUGAAAGGGAAGCGCUUGCAGCCAGACUUGCCUGUAGUUGCUCAUCCGGGUUUCUACCCGGUGCACUCUUCUAUAGGCAGGCCAGCAUCAGUUUGGGCGGUUGGAUAAAGGUCUCUGUCAUGUACCUCCUUUCGGGGAGAACUUAUAGGGGAGACGACAUGCAACCAGCCCGGACUGAGGUCCGCGCAUCUGCUAGGAUGCUGGCGUAAUGGCUGUAAGCGGCCCGUCUUGAAACACGGACCAAGGAGUCUAACAUCUAUGCGAGUGUUUGGGUGUCAAGCCCGAACGCGUAAUGAAAGUGAACGGAGGUGGGAACCUUUCGGGGUGCACCAUCGACCGAUCCUGAUGUCUUCGGAUGGAUUUGAGUAAGAGCAUAGCUGUUGGGACCCGAAAGAUGGUGAACUAUGCUUGAAUAGGGUGAAGCCAGAGGAAACUCUGGUGGAGGCUCGCAGCGGUUCUGACGUGCAAAUCGAUCGUCAAAUUUGGGCAUAGGGGCGAAAGACUAAUCGAACUAUCUAGUAGCUGGUUCCUGCCGAAGUUUCCCUCAGGAUAGCAGUAACGUUUUCAGUUUUAUGAGGUAAAGCGAAUGAUUAGAGGCCUGGGGGUUGAAACAACCUUCACCUAUUCUCAAACUUUAAAUAUGUAAGAAGUCCUUGUUACUUGAUUGAACGUGGACAGUUGAAUGUAUCGUUACUAGUGGGCCAUUUUUGGUAAGCAGAACUGGCGAUGCGGGAUGAACCGAACGCGGGGUUAAGGUGCCAGAAUGCACGCUCAUCAGACACCACAAAAGGUGUUAGUUCAUCUAGAC
rnacentral:rRNA from 1 species